AACGCGAAGAACCUUACCUACCCUUGACAUGCCAGGAAGCCCGCUGAGAGGUGGGUGUGCCCGAAAGGGAGCCUGGACACAGGUGCUGCAUGGCUGUCGUCAGCUCGUGUCGUGAGAUGUUGGGUUAAGUCCCGCAACGAGCGCAACCCUUGUCACUAGUUGCUACGCAAGGGCACUCUAGUGAGACUGCCGGUGACGAACCGGAGGAAGGUGGGGAUGACGUCAAGUCCUCAUGGCCCUUAUGGGUAGGGCUUCACACGUCAUACAAUGGCGCAUACAAAGGGCUGCCAACCCGCGAGGGGGAGCCAAUCCCAGAAAGUGCGUCGUAGUCCGGAUUGCAGUCUGCAACUCGACUGCAUGAAGUCGGAAUCGCUAGUAAUCGCGGAUCAGCAAUGUCGCGGUGAAUACGUUCCCGGGUCUUGUACACACCG
rnacentral:rRNA from 1 species